CCUACGGGAGGCAGCAGUAGGGAAUCUUCCACAAUGGGCGAAAGCCUGAUGGAGCAACGCCGCGUGGGUGAAGAAGGUCUUCGGAUCGUAAAACCCUGUUGUUAGAGAAGAAAGUGCGUGAGAGUAACUGUUCACGUUUCGACGGUAUCUAACCAGAAAGCCACGGCUAACUACGUCCCAGCAGCCGCGGUAAUACGUAGGUGGCAAGCGUUAUCCGGAUUUAUUGGGCGUAAAGGGAACGCAGGCGGUCUUUUAAGUCUGAUGUGAAAGCCUUCGGCUUAACCGGAGUAGUGCAUUGGAAACUGGGAGACUUGAGUGCAGAAGAGGAGAGUGGAACUCGAUGUGUAGCGGUGAAAUGCGUAGAUAUAUGGAAGAACACCAGUGGCGAAAGCGGCUCUCUGGUCUGUAACUGACGCUGAGGUUCGAAAGCGUGGGUAGCAAACAGGAUUAGAUACCCUUGUAGUC
rnacentral:rRNA from 1 species